AUGGCUCGUCAGAUCUCGAUCUGGUUCAUCUCCCAAACGACGCCCCAGCCCCGAGAGGAGCCGCCGCCGCCACCGGGGAACGAGAGGAGCCGCCGCCUGCAGUUGCGGAGGAGCGGAGCUGGCCGGGUUUGCGGGGGAAGCCGGCGCGGGCGAAGCCGGCAGGACGGGCUGCGGGGAAACCGGCAAGCCGGGCGGCGGGAGCCGGCGGCCAGGAAGCGGCAGAAGCCGGCCUGCGUGGGGUGGGAGCCGGUCGAGGCACGAGAGCCGCGCGGAGGCCGGCGCGAGGCUGGGGAGCCCGCAGCCGGAGCGGGGGCGCCCAGGCGGCACAGCGAGGCGGGACCGCGGGAGCAGCGCGGCACCGGGCGGAGCAGGCGGUGA
rnacentral:rRNA from 1 species